rnacentral:rRNA from 1 species
UACGGAGGGUGCAAACGUUGCUCGGAAUCAUUGGGCGUAAAGCGCACGUAGGCGGCCUGUUAAGUCGGGUGUGAAAGCCCUGGGCUCAACCGUGGAAGUGCAUCCGAAACUGCGAGGCUCGAGUAUGGAAGAGGGUCGCAGAAUUCCCGGUGUAGAGGUGAAAUUCGUAGAUAUCGGGAGGAAUACCAGUGGCGAAGGCGGCGACCUGGGCCAAUACUGACGCUGAGGUGCGAAAGCGCGGGGAGCAAACAGG